CUUCUGUUUUAAAUCCUGUGAGGCUAUCAGUUUACUUUAUAGACACAGGCAUCACCAUGAAAACAGCAUUACUUCUUUGUGUCUUGUGUGCUUCUCUGGUAUUCUCAGAACAGAAAAAGAUACAACAAAAAUCUGUUGUACCUCCAGUACCCCAUGACAUUUAUAUGCCUUUAAAAAACACUGAUGCAGAAACAGCGCAGAACCUCCUUAAAAAUCCGACAUCUCAUGAGGAAGAAGUGAUCAAGAAACUUUUCGAAAAACAAGAAAUGCAAAGUGAGACACCCUAAAGGUCAAAACCCUGCUGUCGCAAGACUGCAGUGAAGCAGUGGGACUAAAUGAUCAACGCCUCCAAAGCUUGUAUCUUGUGACACAAAUGAAAUGUGGCAAAGCACAA